GAUGAACGCUAGCGGCAGGCCUAACACAUGCAAGUCGAGGGAGAAGCCCUUUCGGGGGCAGAAACCGGCGCACGGGUGCGUAACGCGUAUGCAACCUACCUUUCACAGGGGGAUAGCCCGAAGAAAUUUGGAUUAAUACCCCAUAAUAUUAUUGGAUGGCAUCAUUUGAUAAUUAAAACUGCGGUGGUGAAAGAUGGGCAUGCGUCCUAUUAGCUAGUUGGAGUGGUAACGGCACCCCAAGGCUACGAUAGGUAGGGGUCCUGAGAGGGAGAUCCCCCACACUGGUACUGAGACAGGGACCAGACUCCUACGGGAGGCAGCAGUGAGGAAUAUUGGUCAAUGGUCGGAAGACUGAACCAGCCAUGCCGCGUGCAGGAAGAAUGCCUUAUGGGUUGUAAACUGCUUUUAUAUGGGAAGAAUAAGGCGUACGUGUACGUUGAUGACGGUACCAUAUGAAUAAGCAUCGGCU
rnacentral:rRNA from 1 species